rnacentral:rRNA from 1 species
UUAUAAUUAAGAUUAAUUAAUAAAAGAUUAAAUGUGAACAUUAAAUUUAAAAAAUUUGGCGGUAUUUUAAAUAGUUAGAGGAAUUUGUUAAUUAAAUGAUGCCCCACGAUUGGAGUGUCCUAAUUAAGUUUUUAUAUAUUGUUGUAUAAAAAUUAUUUUAUAAGAAUAAUCAUUAAAAUAUUUAAUUUAAUUUGAAUAUAAAUCAAAAUGUAGAAUUAUUAGGUAGAUAUGAAUUACAAUUUAAUAUAAUAUUGGAAUUAUUUUUUUAAUUAAAAUAAUGAAAGAGGAUUUAAGAGUAAAUUUAAAGAAAUUUUUAGAUUGAAA